AUUUGGUAACAAUUGUGGCAUAUCAUUUUUAUAUUUUUUGCGACAAAACACAAGCUAUUUCUCAAGGAGUAACAAAGGAAAGAGUAUAUGUACAAACAAAGCUAGGCAAAACCCCGGAGCUGCUUGGUUGGUUCGUCAAUGGCAGGUUGUAGCAAACAGUUUUAUAAAAGGGAAACAAAAUAAUUAAAAAUAAUACUUGGAACUAUCAUCUCUGUAUCUCAUCUCCAAACAUGAUUUCGUUCAUCUUGCAAAAGCUAGUCAUCCAAAUAAAGAGGCGCCCAAAUUUUUGUCGGACCAAAAUCCACAAAAUGUGUCAGACAGCAAGUUACAGACUCAGCCAGCCAGCCAGCCCCCUUCAAAAGCAGAACACCAACUCAACUCACAGGCAAUCCGCUCCACCUUGACGAAGGAAAUUCCAGUAGUCAUUUAGCUUGUGAUCACAAGGUU
rnacentral:lncRNA from 1 species